UACGUAGGGUGCGAGCGUUAAUCGGAAUUACUGGGCGUAAAGCGUGCGCAGGCGGUUUUGUAAGCCAGAUGUGAAAUCCCCGGGCUUAACCUGGGAAUGGCAUUUGGGACUGCAAGGCUUGAGUGCGGCAGAGGAGACUGGAAUUCCUGGUGUAGCAGUGAAAUGCGUAGAUAUCUGGAGGAACACCGGUGGCGAAGGCGGCAUCCUGGACCGACACUGACGCUGAGGAGCGAAAGCCAGGGGAGCAAACGGG
rnacentral:rRNA from 1 species